rnacentral:tRNA from 1 species
CGCGGGGUGGAGAAGUUGGCAUCUCGUCGGCUCAUAACCCGAAGGUCGCAGGUUCGAGUCCUGCCCCCGCAA